rnacentral:rRNA from 1 species
CAUUAAGUUGGGCACUCUAAGUUGACUGCCGGUGACAAACCGGAGGAAGGUGGGGAUGACGUCAAAUCAUCAUGCCCCUUAUGAUUUGGGCUACACACGUGCUACAAUGGACAAUACAAAGGGCAGCGAAACCGCGAGGUCAAGCAAAUCCCAUAAAGUUGUUCUCAGUUCGGAUUGUAGUCUGCAACUCGACUACAUGAAGCUGGAAUCGCUAGUAAUCGUAGAUCAGCAUGCUACGGUGAAUACGUUCCCGGGUCUUGUACACACCGCCCGUCACACCACGAGAGUUUGUAACACCCGAAGCCGGUGGAGUAACCAUUUGGAGCUAGCCGUCGAAGGUGGGACAAAUGAUUGGGGUGAAGUCGUAACAAGGUAGCCGUAUCGGAAGGUGCGGCUGGAUCACCUCCUUUCUAAGGA